rnacentral:lncRNA from 1 species
UCUGUGGAACUCCCACUGGAUGCAGAUGUACAGACCAGUAAUCUACUGAUAACCUUUUUAAAGUAUAGCUCAAUUGUCAUGCAGGACACCAAAGAUGAACACAGGCUUCACAGUGGCAAACUCUGUCUGAUUAUCCUUACAUGUAUUGCAGAGCCUAUGAGACACAGGAAGAAGGCAGCAGACAAGAAUCUUCCCUGCCGUCCUUUAGUAUGUGCAGUACUGGACCUGAUGGUAGAGUUUAUUGUAACACACAUGAUGAAGGAGUUUCCUAUGGAUCUCUAUAU